rnacentral:rRNA from 1 species
UUGACGGGGCCCCGCACAAGCAGCGGAGCGUGUGGUUUAAUUCGAUGCUACACGAAGAACCUUACCAGGGUUUGACAUACAAGUAGUAGGGAAAGGAAACUGGACCGACCCUUCGGGGAGCUUGAACAGGUGCUGCAUGGCUGUCGUCAGCUCGUGCCGUGAGGUGUCGGGUUAAGUCCCAUAACGAGCGCAACCCCUAUCAUUAGUUGCCAUCAGGUCAAGCUGGGGACUCUAAUGAAACUGCCUACGCAAGUAGUGAGGAAGGUGGGGAUGACGUCAAAUCAGCACGGCCCUUAUGAUCUGGGCUACACACGUGCUACAAUGGCCGGUACAACGGGCAGCGAAGGAGCGAUCCGGAGCGAAUCCUAAAAAGCCGGUCCCAGUUCGGAUUGCAGGCUGAAACUCGCCUACAUGAAGUUGGAGUUGCUAGUAAUCGCGAAUCAGAAUGUCGCGGUGAAUGCGUUCCCGGGUCUU